GCAUCGAUAGUUAAGGGGCAAAGUAGUGGGACGGUACCCCAUAUAGCCCGGGUGCGAGCCCCAGUCGAUGCA